AGCAGCCGCGGUAAUUCCAGCUCCAAUAGCGUAUAUUAAAGUUGUUGCAGUUAAAAAGCUCGUAGUUGAACUUCGGGGUUUACCCAUUGGUCAGGCUUAAUUGUCUGUACUGGUGAGAUGAAUCUCUACCUUCUGAGGAACUUUCAUGCCAUUUAGUUGGUGUGAUAGGAAAUCAGGACUGUUACUUUGAAAAAUUAGAGUGUUUAAAGCAGACUAACGUCUGAAUACAUUAGCAUGGAAUAAUGAAAUAGGACGGAUUGGUUCUAUUUCGUUGGUUUCUAGGAUCACCGUAAUGAUUAAUAGGGAUAGUUGGGGGCAUUAGUAUUCAAUUGUCAGAGGUGAAAUUCUUGGAUUUAUUGAAGACUAACUAUUGCGAAAGCAUUUGCCAAGGAUGUUUUCAUUAAUCAAGAACGAAAGUUAGGGGAUCGAAGACGAUCAGAUACCGUCGUAGUCUUAACCAUAAACUAUGCCGACUAGGGAUCGGACGAAGUUAAUUUAUAAUGACGCGUUCGGCACCUUA
rnacentral:rRNA from 1 species